CUGGAAGGAAGUGCCUCUGAAUGGAGUCCAAGAGAAGAAACAAAGAAGAUGGAAACCAGAUGCCUUGAAGUCAUCCCUGUACGAAAAACUUGAGGCAUACAGAAGUAAAGCAACUUGCCCUGAGUCACAUGGCCAGGAAGUGGCAGAACUAUGAUUCAAACCCAGAGAUGUGCGUUUAACUACUAUGCUAUGAAAUAAAAGAAAUCAAAGAAAUUGAAAAGCCUGUACUGAAAGAAGUGGAGUCACAUCCGCAGGCAGACUGACAGAAGAAGAGGACGACAAAGAGAAUGUGGAGAAAGGGCCAUCCUGGCGCAGCGUGGUCAAGACAUGCAUCCCUGCUAUACUCAAAUCACCCGAAAAACCACGCUCAGCAUAACAGGAUCUUCCUCCAGGUCUUCUGUGUGAAGCCUGAGCUUUAGUCAGGAGCAAAUCAGAAAGCAGCUUUUCUUCAGCAGACUUCUGAGGGUCACGUGCCUAAGAAGAUGUUUCCGUAUGAGCACUGAAUAGAAGAUGUGCACUUUCCAAGCUGUUCAAGCCACAGACACAAGCCAGUUUUCAAGCUCUGCCGUCAUUUGGCUCUGACCUGCCUUCUAGCUCCUCUUCGGAUUCCGUCAGGCGUUGCCUCAGCCCUGCGAUCAUCUCCACGGCCACAUCCACCUGUCUAUUCAGGGCCCGCUCUCGUCUCUGCACUUCCUGCUUUUUCUGAGUCAGCUGCACAAAAGCUGCCCGAACUUCCAACAGUUCAGCCGUUUUCUGGGCCAGCUCUUUGGGGCUGCUGGAGUAUACUACCAAUACUCUUCUUUGAAGAUGGAGGUACUUCUCUUGCCUUGAGUAUUAUACACUCGCAGAACAUAGCUUGGUCCUUCCCCAUCACCCUUGGAUGAAGACAGUGCCUCACUCAAACAUCUUCAUGUGGAAACCAUCCUGUGCUUGAGACAGGACUUCUCCCCUGGCUGAUCUUUUUUUCUCAAGUUCAUGUGAAGCUUCCAGCUGACUGCAGUCACACAAGAGAUUCUAGUGAAGAGGAAGAACCACCAACUGAGCCUGGCUAACUCUCAGAAUCAUGAAAAUAAAAUAAAUAACUGAAACACUAAGGUGUUUGAUGAGCUCCAAGGGACUAUCUAAGCUCAAAUAUUUGCACCUAUGAAAAGUAUGUGUAGCAGCCUUCAGAAUCCAGGCUCUUGCAACUCAGAACACCUUUCAUCUCAAGAGAGUUGUUUCUGCUAUCAUUCCAAAGGCCUAUUUUAAUACUCAGAGAAUUGCCUGCUUAUCUUCCCAGAAGC